rnacentral:rRNA from 1 species
AUUGAACGCUGGCGGCAUGCCUUACACAUGCAAGUCGAACGGUAACAGGUCUUCGGAUGCUGACGAGUGGCGAACGGGUGAGUAAUACAUCGGAACGUGCCUAGUAGUGGGGGAUAACUACUCGAAAGAGUGGCUAAUACCGCAUGAGAUCUACGGAUGAAAGCAGGGGAUCGCAAGACCUUGUGCUACUAGAGCGGCCGAUGGCAGAUUAGGUAGUUGGUGGGAUAAAAGCUUACCAAGCCGACGAUCUGUAGCUGGUCUGAGAGGACGAUCAGCCACACUGGGGCUGAGACACGGCCCAGACUCCUACGGGAGGCAGCAGUGGGGAAUUUUGGACAAGGGGCGCAAGCCUGAUCCAGCAAUGCCGCGUGCAGGAUGAAGGCCUUCGGGUUGUAAACUGCUUUUGUACGGAACGAAAAGCCCUGGGUUAAUACCCUGGGGUCAUGACGGUACCGUAAGGAUAAGCACCGGCUAACUACGUGCCAGCAGCCGCCGUAA